ensembl:lncRNA
ACAGGAUGAAGGACAACAAGGAAGGGAGGGAGAGGUAGAGAGUGAGGGAAAUGGAGAGAGUGGGAGACAGUAAAAGAGCAACAUUGAUGCAAGGAGUAGGAAGAGAGAGGAAGCAUGAAAGGAAUACAGGGAGGGAGGAGGAAAGACUGAGGACAGAAGAUGGAACAGUAGGAGGAAGGAAGAGAGCCAGUAGGACAGGGAAGAAAAAAGAAAACAUUGAUGAAAGGAGGAAGACAGGAAAAAUGGGAGCGAGGAAGAAAGGACAGGUAGAGAUGAAAGACAAGGAAAGAGAAGUAAACAGAGACAAAGAGAAGGAGGAAGACAAGAAGAGAGUGAGGAAGAUAGCAACGAUACCAGAGAGGAUGAACAACAGAGUGGAAGAAAUUGAGAGAGAGAAUGAAAGGAAUACAGAGAGAAAGGAAGAUGGAGGACAUGUAGAGACAAUGGACAACAAGGACAGAAGGGAGACAGGAAGGAAAGAAAAGAUGAAAGAAGACACUGAGAAAGGGAGGAUGACAGGAAUACAAGGAAGGAUGGAAACAAAGCGACAGGGCAGGAUGUUAAGAGAUGGAGAAUGAAAGGAACACAGGAAGGAAGACAGACAGGAGAGGUCGAGACAAAACACAAGGAAGGAAGGGAGACAGGGAGGAAAGAAGGAAGAAAUGAAAGGAAUGAAUAAAUGAAGAUGGGAGGAAGAAAACAUGAAGGCAGAGAUGAGGGGAGAAAAAAAAAGGUAAACAGGAAGAGAGAAAAUGGGAAGAAAACAGAGCGGACGUGAGGGAAAUGGAGAGAACAGAUGAAAGAAAAGGGAGAAAGACGGGAAAGAAGACAUGAGAGGGAGGGAAAACAAAGACAGAGAGGAAGACGGAUGAAAACGGGAAAAAAAAAUAACGAGAUGACAUUAAGAGAUGGAAAAUGACAGGAAUGCAGGAAGGAAGACAGACAGGACAGGUAUCGAUAAAGGACAACAAGGAAGGAAGGGAGAGGUAGAGAGUGAAGGAAAUGGAGAGUAAGAGGGGGAGACAGUAAAAGAGCAAAGGAAGGAGGAAGACAGAGACAGGAAGCAUGAAAGGAAUACAGGGAGGAAGACAAAGGACAAGAGGAAGGACAACAAGGAAGGAAGGGAAAAAUAUGUAGAGAGGAAGGAAGAGAGGCAGUGGGACAGGGAAGACAACAUUGAGGCAAGGAGGACAGCAGGAAUAGUGGGAGCGAGGAAAAAAGGAUAGGUAGAGAUGAGGGACAACAAAAAAAGAAGUGAACAGAGACAAAGAGAAGAAGAGGACAAGGGAGGGAGGAAGACAACGAUACCAGAGAGGAUGAACAACAGAGAGGAAGAAAUUGAGAGAGGAUGAAAGGAAUACAGAGAGAAAGGAAGAUGGAAAGAUGGAGGACAUGUAGAGAAAAAGGACAACAAGGAAGGAAGGAAGGGAGGGAGACAGGAAGGAAAGAAAAUGAAAAAAUUAAGAGGAAGGAAGAAAAACGGAAAAAAGGAAGGUGGAGGUGAGGGAAGAAAAACAAAAAUAGAGAGGAAAACAAAUGAAAACUGAAGAGACAGCGAGAAGAGCGAAGGUGGAAGACAGAAAAGAGUGAGGAAGACUAAGGCGAUAACAGGAGGAGUACAGGGAGGGAGGAAGACCGAAAAAGAAGAGGGAAGAAAACAGAACGGGAGCAAGAAAAAUGGAAAGAAGAGAGGAAAGAAUAAAGAGACAGAUGGGAAGAACACAUGAGGAGAGGGAGGAAGAUAGGAAGAGGGAAUAAAACAGGGAAAGUUACACAGAGGGAAAAAGGUAGAGAGAGAGAGGGAGGGGAGAGGGAGACAGGAAUAGCAGAAGGACAGGAAAUUGUAGGCACUCAGGGAAGAAGACAUUUAGAAAGCGAAGUACAACAGGAAUACAGGGAGGGAUUAAAACAGAAAGGAAGUAAGGACAUGUAAAGAGGAUGGAC